CCCUUAGAUGUCCUGGGCCGCACGCGUGCUACACUGACGCCUACAGCGAGUACUUCCCAGCCCCGAGAGGUGGCUGGUAAUCAGCAAUAGGCGUCGUGGUGGGGAUAGAUCUUUGGAAUUAUGGAUCUUGAACGAGGAAUGCCUAGUAAGCGCAGGUCAUUAGCCUGCGCUGAUUAAGUCCCUGCCCUUUGUACACACCGCCCGUCGCUCCUACCGAUUUCGAGUGGUCCGGUGAAUCUUUCGGACUGCGCGCGGCCUCGUGCCGUGUCGCGGAAAGUCAGGUAAACCUUAUCACUUAGAGGAAGGAGAAGUCGUAACA
rnacentral:rRNA from 1 species